UGGGGAAUUUUGCGCAAUGGGGGAAACCCUGACGCAGCAACGCCGCGUGAGUGAUGAAGGCCUUCGGGUCGUAAAGCUCUGUCAGAGGGGAAGAAAUGCAGGAGUGCUAAUAUCACUUUUGCUUGACGGUACCCUCAAAGGAAGCACCGGCUAACUCCGUGCCAGCAGCCGCGGUAAUACGGAGGGUGCGAGCGUUGUUCGGAAUUAUUGGGCGUAAAGCGCGUGUAGGCGGUCUUUUAAGUCUGAUGUGAAAGCCCCGGGCUCAACCUGGUAAGUGCAUUGGAAACUGGGAGACUUGAAUACGGGAGAGGGUAGUGGAAUUCCUGGUGUAGGAGUGAGAUCCGUAGAUAUUAGGAGUAACACCGGUGGCGAAGGCGGCUACCUGGACCGAUAUUGACGCUGAGACGCGAAAGCGUGGGG
rnacentral:rRNA from 1 species